GACAGAGGGGGCAAGCGUUGCUCGGAAUUACUGGGCGUAAAGGGCGCGUAGGCGGGAUGGCAAGUCAGUCGUGAAAUCUCUCGGCUCAACCGAGAAACGUCGGCUGAUACUGCCGUUCUUGAGGGAUGCAGAGGAGACUGGAAUUCCCGGUGUAGCGGUGAAAUGCGUAGAGAUCAGCAGGAACACCCGUGGCGAAGGCGGCCCCCUGGGCCGUACCUGACGCUGAGGCGCGAAGGCUAGGGGAGCGAACGGG
rnacentral:rRNA from 1 species